AAACCCCAUUUCUCAUUGCUCAUUAAAAAUGAGAGCAGUAGAGUGCUCAGGCUGCAGGCCUUCUCAUGAGCAGCACAGGACUGGUAAGAGAAAACAAAAGCAGAACCUGGCCAAGUGCUGCUCUCAGUUCUGCUGUUAGCUAGGACUUGGAGAACUACUGACUUCUGCCUAAGCUUCUGCAGCUGUAAAAUGCUCAACGCACUAAUGAGUCUGAAACAUACGCUCUAAGAUUAAUUUCGGCAGUUUCUUAGUAAGGGAAACCUUGUGUAUUUCUUAACUAUCUCAUGCAAUACUUUUUCCAAGUGAAAGCAAUCUAAACAUACAAAACCAGCUCUGCAGAAUGCCAUGGCAACAAAUUUGAAGUGUGAAAUGUUUCGUCUGUUGUAUUUCCUUUAGAUUUCCCUGACAUAUAUCAAAAUGCUUUGACAUAUGCUGAAUACAUCCUUUUCCCAUCAGGACAGAAGCGGAUUUAUUAUCUACUUUGUCAUUCCCACUUUCUUCCUUUCCCAAGUCCUUUCCUUACCUUGGAAUUCCACGUGAUUUCCUUAUAUUCCUUCCUUCUAAAGAACUGGCACUUUUAAUUACGUUCACAAGAAUGGUCAAAAUUAUUCACAGUCUACAGCAGACAGAAUUCUUGUAGUAUUACAAAUCAUGACAGUAAGGUUUUUUAAACACCAGAUUCUUAGAGUAUUUAUGAAUUACAUAGACAAAUGUAUUUAUUUAAAAAAAAAACAAACCUUCCAACCAAAAAUUCUUUAAAGCAAACAAAAUUUAUACCCAGAAAGAUAAGCCAUUUUAGCUAGUUUAAAAGUGCUUGAUGAUGCAUUAUAUGGAAAGAUAAAUAAGCAGCAGCAUAAACACUCCCAACUCAGAGACCUGGAGAGAAGACUAAUAAGAAAAGAAAGAAAAACAUACUAUUAGUGACAUCCUGGAGAAACUGUACCUGCAAGUAUACUGCCCAACAGUUGAAAUAAUUCUGCUAUAAAAAUGCAGAGAAAGUGCUCAACUCUGAAUAAAGUUAACCUUGGAAAAUACAAAAUAAACUUCCUAAAUUGAAGUGGUUUUCUCACAAAUCUCACAAUAGGAAGUUCUUCUGCUCAUCACUUGCAUGUUAGCCUAUGUGUUAUCAAUUACGAAAUUAAUCCAAAAGCCCAAUUUUAACAACAACUUUUGUAAAUUUAAGCUAAAAUUUAUCUUGAAGCUGGUAGAAUUUCCACAACUGUUUCUUAACUCACCUCCAAAACCUUUACAAGAUCAUUCUGAACUUAAUUCUGGUAUUAGGUUAUCAAAGCUGUUUCAGAAACUCCACCUGGUGGUGACUAGCAGAAUACUCUUGCAGUUCCCAAAAGCAGUAAGAUCAGUAAAACUAAUUAAAGGAUUUAAGUUAAUCAUUAUUUUAAAAAAAAUUAAAAACAUUCCCAAUUUCCGGUUGAACGCAGAUUUGUACUAGCUGGUCCCACCUGCAAGCAGUAAGGGUAUUGCUGCAAGUAGUUGUAAGAAGAAACAAAAUUAACCAUAACUUCUACAACUGCUGUUGGAAUGAGGCAGAACUGUAUGUUUUUGUAGUCAGCGAGCGUCUGGAUUUUUCAUCGUGAUGUACAGCAGCUAAAGAAGUUAUUGUAAUAUAUACACCCUGCUUUCUACAUAAAUAAAAAGGGCUAUAUGCUCCAAACAAUAAUUAUAUUUCAUCUGACUAUUCACAGUGAAAGUCUCAGCCGGCUCUAUCUGUGGAGCAUUUUCUUCAAAAGGUUGAAGAGAUUACUUUUAUUUCAUUUAUAUCCCUCCCCGGAUGAGUUUCAAACUCCGCUGAACAGGAAAUAAGGGCAGUACAGAAGGAAGGAAGGAUGACACCUCACAGCAUGACAUGGAUCAGCUACCCGAGCAAGAACUUGACUUUCAUCCCCGCAGAAGAAAUCGAAGCCUUCAUAGCGUCACAAAACAUCAUAUCAAGACUUAUGCACUGUUACAUUGCCUUUUUUGUACCAACAGGAUUAAUAGCUGGCAUAUGCAUUUUGAUCAUUUUCAUAAAGAAUUAUUUGCAGUACAAAGCCAUAGAAAACUUAGACUUACUCCUUCUACACUUCACCAUCAGCAAUAUUACAAUGAUUUUUUUAUCAUUUACUGUCAUUACUAGACCUGACUAUUUAAAAGUAACCCGCCUCACAUGUAACGUACUGUCAUUUUUUUUCAACUUCAGUUAUUUCAAUUCUGAGUAUGUUUUGAUUUUGACACUUCUCAUACUAUUACUUAAGAGAUUUCCAACAGGGACUGCUCUUCGCAAUGCAACCCAAAGACCCAUAUUGUGUGUUGGAUUUGUACUUAUAUAUACCUUCUGUUUGUCACUGACUGAGGCAGUACUGGUUGGCACAGAUAACUAUUCCUUGGAAACAGACUGCCAGUUAGAUCCAUUAUUUGCAUGGCCUGAAUAUGAGAUCAUUAAAUUCACCUUUGGAUUUGGAAUCCCGUCAUAUCUUCAGAUACUCUGUUUUACCAUUCUCUUCGCUAAAGAAGCACCUGCUGAAGCAACGGCCUUACAACAGCACAUCCGUACUUACCCUGCUGCAUACAUUAUAAGCAUAACAACAUUUAUAUGCCGUCUAUUUUAUAAUGUUAUGAUUCUCUUCAGGACAACGUUCAAAUUACAGAAGAGCAUUGGAACUCAAAAGAAUGAGCUUGUGAUGAAUAUCGCAGAAAUAGUGUUGUUCUGUGAGAGCUGUGUUAGCUUGCUAUUUAUACUUUGUUUUCAUAAACCAUGCAAGGAUGAAGUACUUAAAGUCAUACAGAAGUGCCGAAGGGAAAACACUGCCGACAAUCACCUUGAAAUACCAGUAACAACUACAACACUUGAAAGUGGGUCUCAGUAAUACUUGCUGUUCUGAAGAACUGUCAAUCCACUUUACUUUUUAGGGUUUUUUUGUGGGCUUUGGUUUGGUUCUUUACUUCUUCAAAAAAGGAUAACUGUUCCUUCUUUAGAACCCAAACUUGGACUAUCUUACAGCUAGCAGUACUAGAAGAAAAAAAAUACUUAGUUCUAGUAUUUGCAGUGAUCUAUGAGAAAACAUGUAUGGUCUGGGGUUGUUUGGGAUGUUUUUCAUAUAUAUAUGGGGUUUUUUGUAAGCGCCUAUUUUCUGCAAGUAUUACUUCAAAGCCAAGUAGAAAGAAAAGUACUGUUGCCAUAGAAGCAUGCUUUUGUAAUAAUAUCAAUGCCCCGGCAAAGAUCCAAACAAAAACAUAGCAGAAAGCAACUUUGAACAAAGGUAGAAAUCCGCAGCCAAAGCAUUUUCUCAGGUGUGCUUCCUCUUUUGACUUCUUGCCCUACAAACAGCUUAUUUUUAUAACAUCGGUAAAGCCCAGUAGCAGCAACAGUGAAGUAAGGCUUAAGAAUCCAUUAUAAUCCUGAAACAGUAUUUAAUACUAUAAGUCUACUGUACCACUUGAUUAUAUUAUAUAUAUACACACACACACAUCCCCAAACUGAGCAUUUCUUCCCUUUUUCCAUUUUCCUCUUAUAUUUUUAUUGUAACCCUUAAGGUUUUUGUCUGAAUUCUUAUGCCACAAAAAAAAAAAUUCAAAUUAAUGGAAAUGCUGGUCCAUGAAGGAAAGCUUCAGGUCCUUUGUGAGGCACUGAACUGGAAAGAUCAACAGGAUGGAUAAUUAAAACUUUGUGCAAGAAUGAAAGCUUUUUGCUAAUGUACUCUCAGCUUCAACUUUGCAUUAAGACUAAUGACAAUUAUUGAUUUAAUCCAUUCUUGAUGAGUCCAUUCAGAGGUAUGAAGUCACAUGCCUUGGAAGAGUCACAUUCAUUAAUAUAACAACUAAAAAACCAGGAAAGUCAGCCCAGAACAGUAUAACUGAGGCAUGUUUUUAAAAAGGCAACUAAGGUACUUAAUGCUUUCCUUUGCCUCAGUCUUUAAUAGUCCGACCAGUUGUCACCAGGGUAUUCAGCCCCUCGAGCUGAAAGGCAGGGAUGGAAACAGAAUAAACCCCUCAUAAUCCAGGAGGAAGCAGUUUAUGACCUGCUGAGUCGCCUGGACACUCACAAGUCUAUGGGGCCGGAUGGGAUCCACCCGAGAGUACUGAGGGAGCUGGCAGAGGAGCUCACCAAGCCACUCUCCAUCAUUUACCAGCAGUCCUGGUUAACAGGGGAGGACCCAGACGACUGAAGCUUGCCGAUGUGAUGCCCAUCUACAAGAACAGCCGGAAGGAGGGUCCGGGGAACUACAGGCCUGUCAGUCUGACCUCAGCACAGGGGAAGAUUAUGGAGCGGUUCAUCCUGAGUGCGCACACCAGGCACAUGCAGGACAAGCAGGGGAUCAGGCCCAGCCAGCAUGGGUCCACGAAAGGCAGGUCCUGCCUGACCAACCUGAUCUCCUCCUAUGACCAGGUGACCUUCCUAGUGGGUGAGGGAAAGGCUGUGGGUAUUGUCUGCCUGGACUUUAGCAAAGCCUUUGACACUGUCUCCCACAGCAUCCUCCUAGAGAAGCUGGUGGCUCAUGGCUUAGAUGGGGGUAUUCUUUGCUGGGUAGAAAACUGGCUGGAUGGCCGAGCCCAGAGAGUGGUGGUGAAUGGAGCUAAAUCCAGCUGGUGGCCAGUCACGAGCAGGGUCGCUGAGGGCUCAGUGUCAGGCCCGGUCUUGUUUAAUAUCUUUAUCAAUUAUCUGGAUGAGGGGAUCAAGUGCACCCUCAGUAAGUUUGCAGACAACAGCAAAUUGGGCAGGAGUGUUGAUCUGCCUGAGGGUAGGAAGGCUCUGCAGAGGGACCUGGACAGGCUGGAUCGAUGGGCCAAGGCCAGUUGUAUGAGGUUUAACAAGGCCAAGUGCUGGGUCCUGCACUUGUGUCACAACAACCCCAUGCAACACUACAGGCUUGGGGAAGAGCAACUGGAAAGCUGCCCAGCGGAGAAGGACCUGGGGGUGCCGGUCAGCACAUGGCUGAGCAUGAGCCAGCAGCGUGUGCCCAGGUGGCCAAGAAGGCCAACAGCAUCCUGGCUUGUAUCAAGAAUGGUGUGGCCAGCAGGAGCAGGGCAGGAAUUGUGCCCCUGUGCUCGGCAGUGGUGAGGCCGCACCUCGAGUACUGUGUUCAGUUUUGGGCCCCUCAGGACAAGGAGGCCAUUGAGGUGCUGGAGCGUGUCCAGGGACGUGCAACGGAAAUGGGGAAGGGUCUGGAAAGUGAGUCUGAUGGGGAGCGGCUGAGGGAGCUGGGGGUGUUUAGCCUGGAGAAGAGGAGGCUGAGGGGAGACCUUAUCGCUCUCUACAAGUACCUGAAAGGAGGUGGUGGUGAGGUGGGGGUUGGUCUCUUCUCCCAAGUAACCAAUGAUAGGAUGAGAGGAAAUGGCCUCAAGCUGCCUCAGGGGAGGUUAGAUUGGAUAUUAGGAAAAAUGUCAUCACUGAAAGAGUGGUCAGGCAUUGGAACAGGCUGCCCAGAGAGGUGGGGGAGUCACCAUCCCUGGAGGUGUUAAAAAAAAAAAAACUUGUAGACGUGGCACUUCAGGGAAUGGUUUAGGAGGCCUGGGGGUGUUGGGUUGACAGUUGGCCUUGAUGAUCCUAGAGGUCUUUUCCAACCUUAAUAAUUCUGUGAUUCUAAAAGCAAAGCCCCAGUUCCAAACUGAAAUCAGGGCUCUGCUGGAGACAAGAUAGGAGCAUUAUAGGUUUAAAUGAAAAGUCAUGGGUAAAUGGUGUUCAAUGGGGGAACAAAUCUGCAUCAGAGAAUAAAACAGCUGUGCUAUAGGAGUUCAGAUGUAGCCCUGCAGAAUCAGUAGCCAGUGCAGGGUGAGAUGUAGGUGCAAAGUUUUAAACGCUUGCUUUGAGCACAUUGUUACUGUAAUUGGAUUUGGCCAGGAGCCAUCUUAUACAUUUAGUUUCAGUUUCAGCUUUUCCUCAUAGAGGUGGAGAGAAUGGAAACAGGGAAGGCACAGAAUUUUGCUACAUCUUGGAUAAAGACGAAGACUUUGAUUGCAAAGUUAUAAAAAUACAGUGGUGUGAUGAGGAAGGCUCAAGUGACCGAUAGCGUUCUGAGAAAAGCCGCUUUGAUGCUUACAUAUGUGCCUUUGCCUGAUACCCAGAUGCUAACAAAACUGAUAGGGGUUUUUUUGCAGUUGUAUGCUUUGGAAGGUCUUCUUGACAGGGUCCAGAUUUGCAUGGCGAGCUGGUGUAAAUCAGCAUGGGCUGCCUAGGACAGAGAAAAGUGAGCACUGAUAGAUCAAGAGGAAUACCUUCCACAAAACAACAGCCAAGUGCAUAAAUGGAAGAAUAAAGGACAUUUGUUCAAUAAUAAUACAGUAUAUAGAUCUAGUAUCUAGAUCUGUGGAUCUAGUCUUAGACAUCCAAGUUGUGCAACUUAUGGGCCACGACUGUAUCUCAUGCAAAUGAAGGGCAAUACAUAGUCUCGCUAACUAGGACCAUAAGGACCAACAUUUCUGCAAGAUGUAAAAAUCAACUGGUAAGAUGUCUGCAUUGUAUUAUGUCAGCUUGUUUUCCUGUUCAAUUUUGUUCUGCUGCCAGCAUGAACAGAUGGGUAAUUAAAGAACACUACGUAUAAACAGACUAUUAUAGAACCGGUGAGAAAGGAAGUACGUAGAUAAGAAUCAUCUCUCUGAAUACAAGAGCCCAUUUCAUACUUCUGAAAGGAUUUCUCAGCUGGCAUCAGAGGUUUUGUACUGUACCUGAGAAGAGGGAGAUUAAACAACAUGGACUGAAGAUCAGCCCUGCAAAAAGAAGUUUGAAGAGAUGAGUUGUAAGAGCUGUACAUCAUUGAAAAAGCUGACAGGCUGAGUGAAAGAGUAUGUCAGAAGAUGCAAGCUGUUUAUCCCAAUUCAGACAGAGUAUCAUAGUUUCAGCUGCACCGCGGAUAAGUAGGUUAUUUUCUAGUAUGGUAACGAUGCACAAAGGAUUCCUCUUUAUUCACUGCUUCCAUAUAUUUUAUAUUUGAAGAUGAAAGAAUAAAUACGGUGUUGAGUCCUGAGUUACUGUUAAAGGCGUUUAAAAGAAAACCUAGUCAGUAAAUGUUGGCUCUAGUAAAGGUUGGCUGGGACCUGGAAUCUGCUUUAAUGGUGAGUGAAUCAUAAUAAUGCACCUGUAAGGAGCCUGAAGAUUCAACGUGGGUGGAAGGAUGCUUCAUGAUACUCUCAGAAAGGUACACAGCUAAUGCAGAACUAUAACCAAACCUCACAGAGAAAUAAAACCUGUAGGGGCCUACUGCCAGAUCUAGGAUUUGGGAACAAGUACAUCUUGUCAAGAAUGAACUGCUAUGUAUAAGUAUGAGUACUCCUGGGUAUAGCUUCUGGUUGCAAUCUGAGAGAUGCGAGUGAAUGUUCUCUGGUCUCUUCCCUGUCCACAGCUACUGUCAUGGGAAAAAACAGGCUAUCUUCUGGAUGGCUGGUUAUAAUGUCAUAAAGAAAUCUCUGUGUACAAUGAAAAGACUUUGCAACAGAAUAGGAGAAAACAGAGAUAAACAGGAGAGAAGAGGUUGAAAAAUGAAGAACAAUAAGUUAUAUUUGUAACUAUUUGAAUUAAAGUAAUACAGAAACAUUUCAUUAAAUCAUUUUUUAUAAAGUUACUCAGAGCUUACAUUAAAAUUCAAGACAAUGAACAUACAGUCCUAGAUAAAAAUCUAUUUGCAUCCAGCUAGAAUAUGAGGGCAAACACCCCUAUGUGCAAUAGGGGAAGGAACAGAAACAGUCCCGAAAAGGCAUUCUAAAAUAGUCUUAUAUGAGGGAGAAAAAAGCAGUUUUGGCUAAGAUUAAAAGUAAUAGUUUUUAAAUUAUUAGUAAUUUGAAGUGUAUUUUUAGGAACAAAAUAAAAUCCUCCUGCUUGGAGAGAUUUUUUCUUUUCCACUAUACCAGCAACAGCUUUGUUGAACGCUUACUUCUUCCAGGCUUCACCUAGUUUAGAACAGGAUGUUCCAGAAGAAAUAGAGCAUAUAUUUUCAUAGGCAUGCUGUCAAAAUUAACUGAAGGGAUACACUGGAAAAUUCAAGCAAGAAUAUAUUACUUCUGUACUGGUAAUAUUUGUAUCUUUCUAAGACUUUGGCCUGCUUUUGAAAAAAACCAUACCGUUGAGUAAAAGAGGAGAAAUGAGCAGGCUGCUCAAGUUUAAGCAUGAAUUUCUGAGUUGGUAACAUGCUUUGGAAAAGAACAUGUAGAGACUAAGGACUCAUCUUUACUGAACCAGCUGGCUCAAAUUUGAUCUGAUCCCAUUGCAAAACAACAUCUGAGCUGCAGAGAGACUGGAUUUGCACACUUGAAUCAUAACUCAAGCUGCUACACCCCUACAUGUAUUACUAAACCUGGCCUUAGUUACAUUCUAAUUGCAAACUUACAGACCCUGAAAGGGCUACAGCAUUAUUUAUCUUGAUUUUGAGGUAGUUGCAGAAGAUUUGGGGUAGGGUGAAAGCUCAAGCAAUUCAGCCAAAAUAAGUACUCUAUAUAAUGUUUACACCAUAUAUGUUGCACAGCAAAUUGAUUCAUAAAUUGGCUAGAAUGAAAGAAUGCGUUUCACUUCCACGGCACAAGUGUCCAUCAAAGGACUGCGAGACUCAACUACUAAAGUAAGGACGAUUGAAGCUUUGCGAAUUAUUUUUUUUUUUUAUCGCAUUUGGAUAGAACCUGAAGUCCUGUGAUGAAUCAUCUUUCACUGUACAACAUUUUGUGAUCCAAUUUUGUAAAAUUUGCAUAUUAUCCCCCAAGAGUUUUGUGAUAUACACUUUAAGAAAAACAAAGUUUUUACUAGAAGAGUUUGAAUGUGUACAGGUGUUGUCCCUG